GUAGGAGAUAGCACGGAAUCCAUGGGCCGAAUACAAUUUUCCGUAUCUGAAUAAAUUUUCUGACUGAACACUACACGAUCGUAGCGCCAUAUGAAGUUGUUCUAUCUCUCAUGUGAUCGUCGCCUCCCAGGAUAACACAGUGGAUACUCUACAGCGUCCCUCGUAUGUACCAGAAACGGGUCGUUACCGCGAGCAGGCUCUACAUAAUUUGCCCUGGGAUAUCGCUAUUAGAGUUCCUAGUUCCUAGUUGCUGAAGUGCUCGAAAAGAAAAGAUGGACGAAGAUAUACAAGAAGAGUCUUUCGAGUCUAAGGAAAGUUGAAGCACCAGACGAUGAAAUCGGGAGGAUGCUAGCUCUUUAAUUAAAAUCUACCUCGAUCUGCUUACCAGUGCUGCCAACCAUCCUUCCUGAGUCUAGCUGCCCGAUUACGGAUUAAAACAGUUGGGCGAGCGAAUUGGAUGACUCAACUGUCCUCGGACGGACGUUCCAUCCAGAAUAGACAUAUUUGCAUAAGUUUUUAACCAGGUCACGCAGUCUUCCAUCACCCGGGUUACGCAAUUCAUGUUCCUAUUUAGGUGCCUAUCUGUCUUCGUGCCUGGGACUACCUUAGCCGUCCUUGCCAGACGCGUUCUGGUAUACGCACUUAAGUAUCCCAGUUAGGCCGUCUAAUCGAAUCAGGAAUGGUGACAAUAAUGCCUACGGCCAGGACUGAACUGCUUUCCCGACGGAAGUGUAUCGCUCUCCUGACAUUAUACGGUUAUGUAAUUCUCUUGAUACACGUAGUAGCCAUAAAGCCAAAGAUAGAUACAAGUGAAAAUGAACAUUUAAGGAAGCGCUCUUGUGCUCGUAAGAAAAUAUAAAUUUCUUAACGAUUUUUUUUUUUUAUAAAAUCACCGAAAAGGAGGUCGCCAAUAAAAAUGGCGGGUUCGAGAAGAGAGAAGAAAGCUUGAAAAUUAUCAACCUCUCCAUAUCUAUAGGCACUUCCGUUCUUGUUAGGGCUGUAAAGAGGGGAUUCUCGUACCGGAAGUGAGUAGAAUGUUCGCUCGUUGCUUCGAGACAAUACCCAAGAGAAAUAUAGAAAUCGAGGCCUUUCUUUACUUUCCCAUUAAGAGUCAAGAGUAACGCGUCCUCUUUAUAUGCAUUGAUAAGACUUUUGCUUUUGGAAUGCAAGUUGCACCGGCAACGUGCACCCUUUUUAGUGUGAGGGUUGAAAAAAAAAAGAAAGUGCGAAAAGAAAUAUCCAUCUCGGAUUCAUAUCCGGUGUGUAUACGCACACACGUAAAGUUCUGUGCUUUCUGCUUUUUCUUUCUUUUUCUCUCUCUUUCAAACUGUCAUACGCUCUCUCGCUGGCAGCUGCUAGCCAACUCCUGGGUUACGUAGCAGACACGUACUUUUAUUCAGACCUCCCGCUACAUAUAGUCUCUCCCUCUCACCUCACCUUCCCUCGCUCGUUCUCUCUCUCUCUCUCUCACUCAUAUUUUACACACGCAUUGUCCCUCAGCCGACAAUGUCUCCCUGAUUAGGGAGUCUCGUCGCCGCUACGAGUUCUGCAGGCGCUGCUAACGAUUCCUUUCUCUUAGUUGCAGCCAUUUUGAGUGGACCAAAUACGAGUUAAUUAUCAGUAAAAAAAAAUGUGUCAACCAUAUUUUUUUUCUUUACAAAUUACCGAAUUUCAAUAUUCUCUUAUCACGCGUACCUUGUAUCUUGGUAAUAUGAAUUCAACAUGGAUUAUAUAUAUAUAUAUUUGUAUGUGAUUCUUGGCUUUCUGUUAGAAUAGGAAAUUCACAAAAUCGUCUACGGUACAAUGGAAGCUAAAAGUUUUCAAGUUUUGUCUGCGUACUGCAAAUAUUUGCUGCUUUGGUACGAGCGACGCAACUGCACGGAGCAACGGGCUGAAUUUAAACGUCGAGAAGAAUGCCGACUACGUACGAGGCACGAGGGAUGCGAUGUAGUCGAGGCGGCUUUUCAACUGGUCUCUUUCUACGGUCGAGCGACGUCCCGUAAGUAAGAUCGCUUCGUGCAAAUUCGCUUGGAUGUUUUCCGGAGAGGAAAACUCUAUGGAUUUAUGUAUCCACGUGAGUGUAUAUAUAUAUAGUUGUAUAUACCAUAGACAUACCAUGUCUAUCCCACCGUUUGAACGAUACGGAAAAAUGUCAUCGUUACGUUAAAUAUGUAUUUUUGAAUAAUUUUCUAAAUUAUUUAUAUAACAAAUAUGAAACGUAAAAUAAUCCUUUGAAAAUAUUUUUAGCCCUUUAAUGAAUUUGAGUCAUCGUCAUCGAUUUGUCAAUCGAUAUUCCGAUGGCGGCCAUCAACGGUGCACCACGAUUUUGAAUUCCUAAGCACAGCAUCAAUAUCGAACCGAAUCGUCCAGACUCUUUUGAUACUCUUCUCAUCUUCCCAAGACGGAUGAGGCUGGACCACUUUUGUCAUUACUUCACGUCUUGCCAAACGUCCUACCUUGGCUCGACUAUCAUUUAUCAUGUUUCAUGAGUAAAACUCACUCGUGACAGUGAAGCGGUGAAGAUCGGUCGAAUGAAUGAACGAAUGAAUGUACCUUUAUUUGCCCUAGGACACGGAGUACCUUAAAGGGUACCUGAUGGAACAGCAAGCGGAGAAUCAAUCAAAUUAAAGUCAACAAUAUUAUGGAACUAUAACAGAGCAAAGUAUAUAUACAUAUACCAUAUAUAAAACAAAUAUAUAUAUAUAGAUAUUCAAAGAAAGUAAAAAAUUCAAACAAUUUAAAACGUAUAACUUAUACAACAUGCAAAAUUACAUUCGAAUCAAACUGUUCUAAUUGGCAUAUAUGCCAAGAUGCCUUGAUGUAUAUAUAU